rnacentral:rRNA from 1 species
AUUAAACGCUGGCGGCAGGCCUAACACAUGCAAGUCGAACGAGUGGCGGACGGGUGAGUAAUGUCUGGGAAACUGCCUGAUGGAGGGGGAUAACUACUGGAAACGGUAGCUAAUACCGCAUACCAUCAGAUGUGCCCAGAUGGGAUUAGCUUGUUGGUGGGGUAACGGCUCACCAAGGCGACGAUCCCUAGCUGGUCUGAGAGGAUGAUCAGUCAAACUGGAACUGGACCACGGUCCAUACUCCUACGGUAGGCAGAAGUGGGGAAUAUUGGACAAUGGGCGAAAGCCUGAGCCAGCCAUGCCGCGUGUGUGAAGAAGGUCUUCGGAUUGUAAAGCACUUUAAGUUGGGAGGCGUUACCAACAGAAUAAGCACCGGCUAACUUCGUGCCAGCAGCCGCGGUAAUAC